rnacentral:rRNA from 1 species
GACGAACGCUGGCGGCGUGCCUAAUACAUGCAAGUAGAACGCUGAAGGUGGAGCUUGCUUCUCUGGAUGAGUUUCGAACGGGUGAGUAACGCGUAGGUAACCUGCCUGGUAGCGGGGGAUAACUAUUGGAAACGAUAGCUAAUACCGCAUAAUAGUAGAUGUCGCAUGACAUUUGCUUAAAAGGUGCAAUUGCAUCACUACCAGAUGGACCUGCGUUGUAUUAGCUAGUUUGUGAGGUAACGGCUCACCAAGGCAACGAUACAUAGCCGACCUGAGAGGGUGAUCGGCCACACUGGGACUGAGACACGGCCCAGACUCCUACGGGAGGCAGCAGUAGGGAAUCUUCGGCAAUGGACGGAAGUCUGACCGAGCAACGCCGCGUGAGUGAAGAAGGUUUUCGGAUCGUAAAGCUCUGUUGUAAGAGAAGAACGAGUGUGAGAGUGGAAAGUUCACACUGUGACGGUAUCUUACCAGAAAGGGACGGCUAACUACGUG